rnacentral:tRNA from 1 species
GGGGUUGAAGCUCAGUGGUACAGUGCUUGCCUAGCGUGUAUGAGGCACUGGGUUUGAUUCUCAGCACUGCA